UGUUAAAAGUUGUGUCCCCUUAUAUUGUUAAAAAUUGGUCUGGUUGAUAGAAUAAUCAGAUAGUGACAUGUGGUGUGCAAUGUGUGCCUCAUGUUGAUGUACAAGAAUCAAUUUUCAACACUAAAAAUGGAUGAAAUUUUUAACA
rfam:Gossypium raimondii Chr04_contig_1282, whole genome shotgun sequence.